ACUCUGUUUCCCUUACCGUGCCUUCACCCAAGGCCUGCAGUGUACUCUGAUUUUUUUGGAGUGCACUUACAAACAGUCCUUGAUCACCACUAAAAUCGACAGUGUUUUUCACCCUUCAGAGUGGACUUCAGAACAGCCCUACAUUUUCACCCAAGCUUAUGGUGUUAUCCGAUCAUUUGGACUGGACUUGGGAAUACUUCAUUACUGUAGGUCUACAUCUUCUGCAGUUGUCCUCUGACAGAGAUUUUCACAUUUAUUAUUGAAAAGUACAGUUUUAAAACAUUGAAGACAUCUAUACCAGGCUGGCAUCAUGUCUCAUAAAAAAAGAACAAAUAGUUCAAAGCCAGGAAUAAUGUUCUACUUUCACCACCAACCAAAGAAGGGAAAAAAUUACAUUCCACUUCAAACACGUCAAAGCUCACCGCCGCUGCCACU